rnacentral:rRNA from 1 species
CCUACGGGUGGCAGCAGUGGGGAAUAUUGGACAAUGGGCGAAAGCCUGAUCCAGCCAUGUCGCGUGUGUGAAGAAGGCCUUCGGGUUGUAAAGCACUUUCAGUGGGGAAGAAAGCCUUGGGGCUAAUACCCUCGAGGAAGGACAUCACCCACAGAAGAAGCACCGGCUAACUCCGUGCCAGCAGCCGCGGUAAUACGGAGGGUGCGAGCGUUAAUCGGAAUUACUGGGCGUAAAGCGCGCGUAGGCGGUCUGAUAAGCCGGUUGUGAAAGCCCCGGGCUCAACCUGGGAACGGCAUCCGGAACUGUCAGGCUAGAGUGCAGGAGAGGAAGGUAGAAUUCCCGGUGUAGCGGUGAAAUGCGUAGAGAUCGGGAGGAAUACCAGUGGCGAAGGCGGCCUUCUGGACUAAGACUGACGCUGAGGUGCGAAAGCGUGGGUAGCAAACAGGAUUAGAUACCCGGGUAGUC